rnacentral:rRNA from 1 species
GUAGGUGGCAAGCGUUGUCCGGAAUUAUUGGGGCGUAAAGCGCGCGCAGGCGGUUCUUUAAGUCUGAUGUGAAAGCCCACGGGCUCAACCGUGGAGGGUCAUUGGAAACUGGAGAACUUGAGUACAGAAGAGGAAAGCGGAAUUCCACGUGUAACGGUGAAAUGCGUAGAGAUGUGGAGGAACACCAGUGGCGAAGGCGGCUUUCUGGUCUGUAACUGACGCUGAGGCGCGAAAGCGUGGGGAGCAAACAGGAUUAGAUACCCUGGUAGUCCACGCCGUAAACGAUGAGUGCUAAGUGUUAGGGGGUUUCCGCCCCUUAGUGCUGCAGCUAACGCAUUAAGCACUCCGCCUGGGGAGUACGGCCGCAAAGGCUG